GUGCCAGCAGCCGCGGUAAUACCCGCGGCCCGAGUGGUGCUCAUUAUUAUUGAGCUUAAAGCGUCCGUAGCCGGCCUCGUAAAUCUUUGGGUAAAUCGGGCAGCUCAACUGUUCGAAUUCCGAGGAGACUGCGAGGCUCGGGACCGGGAGAGGUUCGAGGUACUCUCGGGGUAGGGGUAAAAUCCUGUAAUCCUGAGAGGACCACCAGUGGCGAAGGCGUCGAACUAGAACGGAUCCGACGGUGAGGGACGAAGCCCUGGGGCGCAAACGGGAUUAGAUACCCCGGUAGUCCAGGGUGUAAACGCUGCGGGCUUGGUGUCGGAGGUCCUACGUGGGCGUCCGGUGCCGGAGAGAAAUUGUUAAGCCUGCCGCUUGGGGAGUACGGUCGCAAGACUGAAACUUAAAGGAAUUGGCGGGAGAGCACCGCAACGGGAGGAGCGUGCGGUUCAAUUGGAUUCAACGCCGGACAACUCACCAGGAGCGACGGUUACAUGAAGGCCAGGUCGACGACUUUGCCUGAUUUUCCGAGAGGUGGUGCAUGGCCGUCGUCAGUUCGUGCCGUAGGGCGUUCUCUUAAGUGAGAUAACGAACGAGACCCUCGCUGCUAAUUGCAAACUCUUCCGCGAGGAGGAGUGCACAUUAUCGGGACCGCUGGUGCUAAAUCAGAGGAAGGAGAGGUCAACGGUAGGUCAGUAUGCCCCGAAUCUCCUGGGCUACACGCGCGCUACAAAGGACAGGACAAUGGGCCCCUAUGCCGAAAGGCAACGGCAAUCCCGAAACCUGUCCGUAGUUCGGAUUGAGGGCUGUAACUCGCCCUCAUGAAGCUGGAUUCCGUAGUAAUCGCGAGUCAACAUCUCGCGGUGAAUAUGCCCCUGCUCUUUGCACACACCGCCCGUCAAACCAUCCGAGUUGGGUUCAAGUGAUGUUGUCUCUGAUUGGGGCGCUAGAACUUGGGUUCAGCAAGGGGGGUUAAGUCGUAACAAGGUAACC
rnacentral:rRNA from 1 species